UCAACGGCCCUCUUUAGGGCCACAAUUACUAUCAAAUUCUCCCAA
rfam:Ancylostoma duodenale strain Zhejiang A_duodenale-1.0_Cont5010.1, whole genome shotgun sequence.